ensembl:lncRNA novel transcript
ACGAGGUAAAGACUAAGGGACAAGCGCGAGGCGGCACCGAAAACAGCAAGUGAGGAAGGCGAAUAAAGCCAGAAAUCAGCAUGAGAAGAUGAUCAAAAUUCAUAUAUUGAAACAUGAAAAGGUUGAAGAAGAAAUAAAGAAGCACGGAAGUAAUAACAUGGGAUUAUCAGAAAACCUGACUGAUUGUGCUGCUGCUGGCAAUGGUGAUGAUGGACUAAUUCCACAAAGAGCAGAAAACCUGAAAAUCAGCAAUUUCCUAGGACGGAGAAUGAAGAGUAUCAUAGGGUUGAAGAUGGCAUGGCCUGUAUGCUGCAGGUUUUUCUGAGGAAAAACAUUCAUUUCCAUGUCUUCCUGUGAUCUUAUGCAUGCAUUGGAUUACACGGGACUGCAUUCCUUUGCCACAGAUGAAAAUAUAGCCAGAAAGUAUCCCAACAGAUACCCAAAGACUAAGGCAGGCGUUGCAAGUGACUACCUGAGAAGAUGAAUUCACCAUCCUCACAGGAAAAGACUGAGAUCCCCAGAGACUGAGGAGCAUCUCUGAAGAAAAGAGUCUCCCAAGAAGCCACAAAUGUGACCCAUGAAAGACUCUCCAUUUAAAGCACUUGGCAAAUGCGGAGCUCAGCAAUAAUAU